UAGCAUCAGCUAUGGAUCGGUCGAUUCGCGUAUCGAUGAAAAACGCAGCUAGCUCCGUUAUUCAUCACGAAUUGCAGACGCUUAGGGUAGUGAAAUUUUGAACACAUAGCGCCGUGGGGUUUCUACUUCGGCACUUCUGGUUUGGAUGAA
rnacentral:rRNA from 1 species